UGAUAUAAAUUUCAUUUGUUUAUUAGAAAUGAAAGUUGCUGAGACGUUCUUAUAUGUGCACUAUUUAUUAACAGGUGGAAGCGCAAGAGGAGGAAAAUUCAAGCAACAUGCAUCCGCCUAACUUCAUAGAUUCAUGGAGGAUGACGUAUAAAAGACAUAAGCGCCACAGCGGCCCCAGAGACUGACGCUUUUGCUGCCACUGUUGCGUGCGGCCAGACCCUGGUUGUGGAAUGUGCUGCACCUGAGUAUUGACUCUGUCACAUCCUAUCCAUGGACUACAGAUGAAAAAAAGCUUCUUGGCUAACUCAGGCAUGUUAACAGCAAAGUUUACAUGUGCACUGUCUCUGUCUCCAGUCUGGGAUUCCCACAGCUACAGCUAAAUAUUAAUAUGUUAUGCUUUUGUGUCAAAGCAGUUUUACCACUUUUUUGUACUGUGGUUGGGAAUAUCUGAAUUUAUUUGAUGUGGAUUAAAUAUCUACAUAUUCUAACGUGUACUAUCACAAUAAAGUUUAAUUUUAGUAAUACCAAA